AGCCUCUGUGGAGUCCUCAGCCUUUCCAUAUAUAUUGUAUUUGUACUAAUGGAACAUUCGCAGAAAACUGAGCUGGUUAUUUGUUCUUUUUAUUCUGUAGAUGAGACAUUUUUCAGCCAUGACUUCUGAAGACUUAUAGCUGUAGCACGCUCCUAAGACACAGAGCCUUCUAAGAUCCAAGAAUGUCAUCUUCCCUGUCUUUUACCCUUUUUUGAAAGCAUCUAAAGAAAAACUGGAAGCUGCAGAGAUAUAUGAGGAAUUGACAGGUGAGUCACUUCAGACAACAAAGCCCUCUGUUGGUAGACAUCCAUCACGCAGAGCAUGAGCUUUCUCAGCAGGGAAGAUUAGCCUCUUUACAUUGGAAGACUUCUGUGUGGUGUAUGCAUGUCAGAGCCUUCCCCCACUGCUUUCGACAAGCUGAGUGAAAUCUAUC
rnacentral:lncRNA from 1 species